AUUGAACGCUGGCGGCAUGCCUUACACAUGCAAGUCGAACGGUAACAGGUCUUCGGAUGCUGACGAGUGGCGAACGGGUGAGUAAUACAUCGGAACGUGCCUAGUAGUGGGGGAUAACUACUCGAAAGAGUGGCUAAUACCGCAUGAGAUCUACGGAUGAAAGCAGGGGAUCGCAAGACCUUGUGCUACUAGAGCGGCCGAUGGCAGAGUAGGUAGUUGGUGGGAUAAAAGCUUACCAAGCCGACGAUCUGUAGCUGGUCUGAGAGGACGAUCAGCCACACUGGGACUGAGACACGGCCCAGACUCCUACGGGAGGCAGCAGUGGGGAAUUUUGGACAAUGGGCGCAAGCCUGAUCCAGCAAUGCCGCGUGCAGGAUGAAGGCCUUCGGGUUGUAAACUGCUUUUGUACGGAACGAUAAGCCCCGGGUUAAUACCCUGGGGUCAUGACGGUACCGUAAGAAUAAGCACCGGCUAACUACGUGCCAGCCGCCGCAGUAAGAC
rnacentral:rRNA from 1 species